rnacentral:lncRNA from 1 species
GAAGCUUUCCAGAAGCGCACUUCUUACAGGAUGCCUAGAAGGACUUUAUUUAACUCUUGCUAUUGUGACCUGGGGACAGCCUCCCCUCCCCCAGGGCACCUAAGAGCCAAGGGUCAUGUGGCCAGUGGGUGACUCUGCAGAAGUGACUGCCUUUGCUAGAAGCACUCCUCGACAAGAGUCUCUUGUUGGCCAGUUGGUCAGAGGGCCUGCUUCCCAUGGGCACUGUGAGUGCCAAGGUGCGGGGCCUGGCUCUGUGCACCCAGGAAAAGUCUGCAGAUCCCCAGCCCCCCCGCAAUAAUUCACCAGACCAGAAGCCACUGAUGUACAGA